rnacentral:lncRNA from 1 species
CCUCUUUAAUGAAAACUAAGUUAGCUUCAACUUUCAAAAGUUUAGUGAAUAGUCGCUAAAAUAUCCUUAAGCAGGAUGACAGAAUAUAUGCAGUAUUGGUCAAGAAAAGUGCGUUGCACAGAGCAGUUUUAAGUUACCAGUUGCUGAGGGCCAAGAAGCUGUCCUAUCAAUGUGAUGUAUAAAAUUUGUCUUCCAACUAACAGAAAAGCAGAAGAAUGUGAAACAUGGCCUUAACCAAAACACCUAUUUACUCCUAUCUCUUUUAAAGGAGCAGCUACAGGAACUACUGUCUUCAAUACUUGUAACAGGCAAACUGACUACCUACAGAAGCCAAAACAAAUUUUUAAACUUUGUAACUGACCAUUUCAACAGUACUCUGUGGACCAUAUCAGCAACCUCUUCAUUGCCAAACUGGUGGCGGCGUGCUACCGGUAAUACAUUUUGAGCUAAUGUUUAAAAGGUUUGUACCACUGAAGGUGUUUCAGACCAGUGGUCACUACAAUGAAAAAUCUUUGGCAACCAUAGACAUAUGAAAGGUAAUUCCCAGCAGCUGGAAGAAUUGCUGUGAUGUUUACAAAGUUCUUUAGUGCAUCAUUCACCUUCUGCAGUGUGCUGUAUAAAGAACCAAAACCCUGAAAGGACAGCUAAACAUCUGACAUUACCUCACAAGUUGCAGGGUUUUGUUGUACCUACUUUCUCAAAGCUAGGCCUUGUGAAAUUUUAGAGGAUGAUGUGAGAUAGUCGAUGCAAAGGCCUCCAGUGCAGUUGGAGUUGAUGGGGAAGGGAGCAGAGCAAUGAAGGGCUGAAGACUUAUGUUUCAGUGUACCACUGGGAUGUUACUCAGAGAAUGGCAACAGAUGGAUUCAUGAGUGGAUUUAGUCACACAAACAGUAUAAUCACACUGGUGGUGGAAUCUCUUCAGACAACAAAACAAAAAGAAACAAAAAAAAAUCAGCUGCAUCCAGAGAGUCCGCUAAGUGGUCUCAAUUACCAUUACCUUAAACAAGAAAGAACAUGCAUUAGUAACAUAGAAUUUACUCUAAAACAUUAAUAACACUCUAACACAGCUGAGCUAUAAGAAGAAUUCAGUAUAAUAAUUUUUUUAUUUUCCAAUUAAUGCAAUUAUAAAUUAGAUGUAUCUUGUGACAUCAGAUAAGCCAGCACUUACAUGUGUGGGAUGUGAAUAUAGUAGAGGAGACAACACACUUCAGGUGGGUAAAUUUUUAACAAGUACAAGAAUUGAAGGAAGGUUCUCUAAGCUUAUUCUUUCCUGAAUAUGAGCUCAGCUUUCCAAAAUUUGGGAACUAUUACUUCAGCUAAGGCUUCCUUAAGGUCCCUUCCAACCUGAACCAUUCUAUGAAUGCAGUAACUUCAAUUCUAGGAACCUGCAGAACUGCAUAGUGAUCCCUAUAUGUAAACUAGCAUGCAAUCUGGCAGUAACUAUCACAGCACAAGAAACUAAAAAGGAAGAACAGAAUCUUUAAAAAAAACCCCAAAGGGUAUUUAAUCUGGCAGAAUGUAGUAUUAUUAUCAGCACUGACACCUUGUUCUGUGACAAUAAAGUCAAAGAACUUUCUACCCCAGAUGUCACAUAAGGUCUCGUAUAUAGCCAAUCCCCACUUACACCUCACUUGAGAGGCAUCAAUUUAAGCAUGCAAAGGCAUUUCUUUUUAGUCUAAUAAAAUAUAGCAUCACUUUCAGUUAACUCCCACCCCCCAAAAACGUACAGCUACAGCUCUCAGAUGUCCACUUCCAAACCUAGUGUGAAAAGCCUAACAAUCUUAGCAUAAGGACUCCAGUUGCUACAUACAACUUGCUUUAACAGUGAAAUAAAACAAAAUAUUGGCCAUUUCUCCCCUGGGAGUGAAGAAGAAAGAAGAUCAUAAAAUAAGGUACAAGUGAAUGAGCCAAUUUUGAUGAAACUAUGAAAUAAUAACAUGAAAUACAGUAUUCUUCAUUUUCAGUCAUCAGGUGCUGCAGGAAAAGACAGUUAGUUUAGCAAUUCUGUAAAUGGGUUUUUGCCAUGUUAGUGUUCUCUAUUCUGCCACAGCAGAUUUUAACUUCACGUUUCAGUAGCUGUAAAAUCGUGGCCCUACCCUACAGAGACACGUUCAACAACAGCACUGUUGCCACGCAAGACUUACUGCUGUUUCAGCACAUGAAGGAUGAAUUCAAUCCUCAGUAGAUUCAAUCCUCAAACCUACUAAACUGAUGACUGCGUUGGAGUUCCAGUGUUUCAUUAAAAGAUAAAAAAUAACAAAUUAAUUAAUGGUGCUCCCGUACUGAAUUAGAAGGCAAGCCUGGUC